rnacentral:rRNA from 1 species
GUGCCAGCCGCCGCGGUAAUACGUAGGGAGCAAGCGUUAUCCGGAAUCACUGGGCGUAAAGGGUGUGCAGGCGGGCAUGCAAGUCUGACGUGAAAGCCCCGGGCUCAACUCGGGAAUUGCGUUGGAAACUGCAUGUCUUGAGGACCAGAGGGGUGGGCGGAAUUCGCGGUGUAGCGGUGAAAUGCGUAGAUAUCGCGAGGAACACCAGUGGCGAAAGCGGCCUACUAGAUGGUUCCUGACGCUGAUACACGAAAGCGUGGGUAGCGAACGGGAUUAGAUACCCGGGUAGUCC